rnacentral:rRNA from 1 species
GACGAACGCUGGCGGCGUGCUUAACACAUGCAAGUCGAACGGAAAGGCCCUGCUUUUGUGGGGUGCUCGAGUGGCGAACGGGUGAGUAACACGUGAGUAACCUGCCCUUGACUUUGGGAUAACUUCAGGAAACUGGGGCUAAUACCGGAUAGGAGCUCCUGCUGCAUGGUGGGGGUUGGAAAGUUUCGGCGGUUGGGGAUGGACUCGCGGCUUAUCAGCUUGUUGGUGGGGUAGUGGCUUACCAAGGCUUUGACGGGUAGCCGGCCUGAGAGGGUGACCGGCCACAUUGGGACUGAGAUACGGCCCAGACUCCUACGGGAGGCAGCAGUGGGGAAUAUUGCACGAUGGGCGGAAGCCUGAUGCAGCAACGCCGCGUGCGGGAUGACGGCCUUCGGGUUGUAAACCGCUUUCGCCUAUGACGAAGCGUGAGUGACGGUAAUGGGUAAAGAAGCACCGGCUAACUACGUG